rnacentral:lncRNA from 1 species
UUUUUUGAGUGUUCCGCUCUGAUACCAAUUGAAAAACCUACAUUUGUCUAUAUUUUAUCCAGAGAUCAAAAAAACUAUAAUAUUAAAUCAAGUUAUCACGACUUUGAACAAUAUUGUAGAAUUUAAGAUAUAAAAAGAAACAAAUCAAUCAACCAAGAAGCACACAAGAUUUUUUACUAUGAAAACAUUUGAAUGGGAGAAAAAUCACGUAUUCAUUUCUCCAGACAAAGAUUAUGCACUACAACUAAUGUUCAAACGGUUACAAGACUCUUACAAUUAAAAUCUAUCAACUCUAUGAUAUAAUAAUUGUAUAGAUUUAGCUCAUAUUCACGAUUCACCGUCUCCGUGCUUGAUCACAAUUCAGAUCCUCUUAGAACGGAUUUUGGUCUUGAAUUCCACCAAAAAUUUUGAUUUCUUCGAUAUGGUUAAAGAAGACUUGUGCUAAGAUCUAUUUGAGCUCUUCAGAAGAUGGAAAACACUUUUCUCUAGGUUAUAAUGAUAGAAGAGGCUCAGAUGUCUUUUGGGGAAGUGUGCUGGGCCUUUUAUAAUGGUGAAAAACCUUAAAAAUCACAGUUCCCAUCAUUACAGAAUAGCGCGUCUCGCUCCUGCGAGAAUCCCACGAACUCUGUGGCAAUUUACAAACUCUCAACUUUUUUUUACGACGAUCCCACAACAAUCCCGUGAGCUCUAUGCUACUUUAAGAGCUCUUGAUAUUUUCCCGCGAGAUCCCUUGACAUCUCGGGAGAUACCUGCGAGGUCUUGAUCAACUGCCAGCACACUGUUUUUGUCCUCGAGAUUCCUCAAACUCCAUUGACGUCCUUCGAAGUCCCCUUUUAAUCAUUCACGAUGCAUCAUAGAAGACUCUCUUAGCACGAGCUUGCACGAAUAUGCUUGAAAACCUUCCGAAUGCUUGUGAUUGAUUCGACAAAUCCCCAAAUUAGAUUAAAAACGACAUGUUACAAAAUCUUGCCAAUUAUAUAACCUUUCAUAUAGCUAGCCCAAAUGGGGCUAAUAUGCAUUUCAAAAUGCUAGCCACAUGCGAUGAGGAGGAAAAAAUGCACCCUUUGAAGCAAAAGUACCCUUUUAUAUAUACACAAAUAUAUAAUUAGGGGUCCCAAUCACAUCGGAUUAAAAAUAUUCGUGUGUUACAUCAUAAAUAGCUUCACAUAAGCCUAACCUGUUUAUGAAUCUUGUUAAAACUUUGUCUAAUCGGAUCACCUGGCCUUCUUAUUAUGCCUACAAUCCAAACAAGUCUCAAUGUAACCAAUUUUACUAAAAACCCAUAUUAAUUGGGUUUAACUAAUUGGAAUUAAUUGGGUUUAACCAAUUUUACUAAAAAAACCAUAUUAAUUGGAAUUUUCUCAAUAAUAUAUGUUUUGGGUUACUUUUUUAAAAAAAAUUAAAUUAACAAAAAUUCAUGUUGUAGUCAAUUUUUUCCUUAAUAUUUUCAUUAGCGUAUAUAUUCUCCAUUUCUAAUAUAAAAUUCUAAUUUUGUCGUUUCUUUUUAGUAUAUUGGUGUUUUUAUAUUGUUAAUACUUGUUAAAAUAUUCAAUUGACACACUACUUUAGAAUAUUUUUCAAGUACUUUCUACCAUUGACUCAAAACCAAGAAGAAAACUUACAACACCAAUAAUUACAUGAACACGUACCUAAACACAUGGACCAUUAACAGGAAGCCAUAUUGUAAUACUCCGACCUUUAAUUAUCUUUAUUUUAUUAAAAAAAUAAGAAUUAUUGGGGUUAAAUUGAAAAUUUCAUAAAUUUGUAGGAUAAAUUAAAUAAGACAUUUAGAUAAUAUAAUUAUUUAAAAAUUUGAGGGGCUAAAAUAUAAUUUUAUAAAAUAAGUUGCCACGUGUCAAGGUGAUGCAUCAUCAGCUGACUUACUUUGCGUUUGUACUCUUUAGAAACAAAAGAGGACUUGAGAGAUGAAAGAAAUGAGAUAAAGGAAACUCAUAUAGGGUGGUUAAAUUUGAUCAUGAAAGAUAUGGGCGUAGAACAAUGGUGAGAUAAUGUCGGACUGAUGUAAAAUUUUAGUAUGAUGAUAAUGGGAGUCAGAUCUUCAUAUUUAAUGGUCCCAAUUUUAAUUUAAGAUAAUCUGGAGGUAUACAAUAUGCUUUCUAAAACUCUGGAGUUAUUUCUUAAAUUACCUGAUUUUGUACUCAUUUGAGCAAGUGUGCAAUCUGUUGAAAUCCAUGAGAUCUUUUGAAAUUCAUGGCAUUGUUGAAAUCAUAAUUUAUAUUGGCUGAAGUACCAUGGUAUUGAAUGGUACCAACUGGGUGAGCCUGCAAAUAACCCUGACACCGGGUAAAGCCAAAAGGCUAGGUGAGGUGGGCGAGGCCGGCCACGAGUCGCGUUCCAAGAAAGACCAGAUAUGAGGUCUUUGAUGCAUUAUUAUUGAUUCAUUGAGCAUAUUCUAGUUGUAUUGUAUAUUUUCCCGCUUAAUUUAUUUUUCAGGCAAACGUGGGAGUCCGAAUAGUACGAGAUGGGUCGGGAGAAAGAC